GCUGGACCCGGAGGGGAAUGAAAUCUGGAAUGUAAACAUAAAUAAACAAACAAACAAAUAAUUAAAAACAUAAACAAGGAUUCAGUAUAUACCACAAACAGUAAAAAAAAAAAAAGCGUAGAUUUGAACAUCUACUUGCAAAAACAAAUUCACAUGUGCACUCAGAGGUAAAGAUUAAAAUGCCUUCACUAGGAACCUACUCAAUCUGAAGAAUCAUACAUAAGAACUUUGCAGUUUAAUAUUUCCAGUAUCCUAUCAUGUAGCUUCCACUAUUCCUGCCUCUUUUCCUUCCCUUUGUUUUUUUAUUUCUUUGAAUAGGGAAACGAAGCUAAAAUUUGAAAGGACCAAGAAUUCAGUUAUUCAUGAAACGGGCAAAUGACUCAAACACCAAUUUUACUUGCUUGAUGUUUAAGAGCAAACAUAUUACGAUGCUUUUUUCCCUGUAAUGUUGGUAAAUGUUAUUCUUACUAAUUGAACGUAUUGAAAUGCACAAACAUAGUAAUUCAGUGAAGUCAGAAUUUACAGAAGGACCUUAAAGGCACAAAAAGCAGCUGGGCAGCUGACGGGCUCCUAGUUAAUGACACCGACCAAGCUUUCUUUCCAGUCUGCUCCCACCAACACCUCCAUCCUUCAUCUUUCCCUCCCCUCACUGGCCAUGUCACUUAAGUGUCUCCUGAUGGAAAGGCCAAUCACUGUGAGUUUUACUCAUUUUGCUUCACGUACCUAAAGUUCGGAAAAUCUUUACUUACAAUUAUUUAUACAAUUGACAGGUUGUAGAUUUAAACCAAAAUCAUUGGCUAGGUUUAGGUCAUUGCCAGUUUCCUAAUAGUAAUCAGUGCACUCCCUUUAGUCGAGGAUAUGUUGAGAAGGGUCUGUGUAUCUAAUUCUGUCUCAGGUACUAGAGGUAGGGCAACAAGACAUAUAGACAAGUGUUUCUUACAUUCUUAUGUGGGAAGAGGCACACUAUAUAUAAGCUUAAAAUGUAUGAUAAAUAUAUAAUAAGCAAGUACACGAGAAGGUAAACACAGUAUACAGGCACACCCUCUGUACUAUAAUAUUUAAAAAUUACUAAACUAAAACAGAACACACAGUGGAAUAGCCAAAUAUAGGUCAACACUAAAAUAAAGUUUGAGAGAAGACGUCUCUUAAAUUACAUAUGACUAUAGAGCCAAAUGACAAGAAUAAAUCAGCUGUCAAAAUUCACAGGGAAAAAAACCUAACACAUGGCUCAGUGUUAGAGCACUUGUCUUGCAUGUAGGUGCUAUGAGUCCAGUCUCCAGCACCAUCAAAGUGCAAAGCAGUGAUGAUGAAAGGUAUAAAAACAAAGAUGAGACUAUUUUAGACAGCAGGACGACUAGAAUCUAGUAAGCAAAUCAGAAAGAGAUGGGUGAGCUAAAGACAGCAAAAUAGGGAUUAAAAAAUAUGUAUGGAAGGUCCUACAGGGCAUUUUAAUGCUAUUCAAAAUGGAAAAAAGUUAUAGCCAGAGGGAGGAUGCUAUGAUUCGCCAUAGUUGGGCAGGGUGCCCCUUGGGUUAUGUUUUAAUUUGACUGAUGUUGCCGAAGCCAGAGGGCUAUAGGAUGAAAAGGAGUAUUUCCCCAGGGGAGCCAUGGUUCUGGGUAGAUAAAGCAAGGCACAGUUUGUUUUUCUUCCCCAGUCUGUUGAAACACCUCUGUUAGAAAUGCCCUCAGCAGUUUGUCUCCACGUUCUGUCAAUCACAGUAAUAAUCGUUCCUGCUAAUCCAACCCUAUUCCAAUUUUUUUCUAUAGAUUUACAGUAUUUUAGAAGUCUAUGGUCUUCCUUACAAUUUUAAGGCUGUGCAAAGGGAUUGGUUCAACUGGGACAUGAUGCUAUAUUAGUAAAUUGUCUUGUUCACGCUGAUUUAAGUGUUGAUCACCUAGUGGUCGAUACUUUCUUGAAUUCUGCCUAUUGCUUGGAGGCACAGCUUUCUAGAUAGAUUGUCCCGAGCUUUGUGCUUUCAAAUGCCGGAUCUUCCAACUUUUGUUACUUGUCAUGCUUGUUUUAAGCUUUCUUUCCCCUAAAUGAUUACAUACUGAGAGGUGUUUGCUAGAUAGCUAGCAAGGAGCAUCACUCGACUAUAGAAAGAAAGUCAGACUAGCUUGGGAAGAAUGGCACAAUGUAGACUGAAGGCCAGAAAGGAAAAAAAAAGCAAAAAGAAAACUAUGGGCAGAUAGCAAUCAUAUCAGAAACCAAAGGAAUGAGCCAAAGGGUUGUGAAUCGCAGUAGGAGAAUUAAUGAGACAGAAAAUUUCCCAAGGAAAAGAGCCAAGUAUAGAAAAAGAAGAAAUAAACAUCAUAAAAGGAAAAAAUCUCAACACAGAGAGGAAAUAAAACGACAGCCCAAGGGGAAGACGAAAGAGGAAAACAAAGAAAGGACAAAUGAAAAAGUGACGCCUUGCAUCAAAGCGAAUGUACUCCCAUGUCUUUUUUCUUAUCGGGUUAGUGGCUUUGCAUUUCUCGAGCAGCGAAGCCAAACUGAAGGGAUAAUUUUGUUUAUGUACCCAAUUUGCAUAAUUGUGCAAUAUAAAUUACAAUGCUAAUUAAGGACAGCCCUUGGGCUUCUGGAACUGGGUCAAAGUGGCUCCCUGAGUGCAUGGAGGUUGGGGCAUUGGCUUUGUCCCCACUCCCACUGCAGGGAAGCCAAGCAAGAGAAAAGAACCUUUCUGACAGUGUGUGAAAUCUUGUCAGAAGUUGUUGUAGACGCAGGAUUGUAUUUCUCACUCUCACACUUGGCUUUCAAAUAAUCUUCCUGUGAUUCCAAAAUGAUGUUCGGAAAAGCACAAAUCCCUCCUAAACCCUCGUGCCUGUCUUUCUACGGCAUUUCCCCCAUUUGAAUUUGCUAGUUUUCCUUUAGAGAACUAGAUUAUGAAAUUGUGAAUGAGUGAGCAUGAACCUGGCAUACAGUCUUUUCUCACAGGAAUCCUGCCAAAUUGUCUGAAACCAGUGUAUCGUGUGCCCAGCUUAGGCCUUUGUGAGGCAGAGAGACAGUAGGCUCACUUCUGAGUUUCACUUGAAUUCAUGUUCUGAAAGCUUGCUAAAUAUUAUAAUUUCAGUUUCAGAGUUUAUUUCUUAUACCAUUCCCAUGAAGGGAGUGUACAUUAGAAGUGUUGGAGAAUAACUAGCUUGGGUCAUUGAAAGUAAGAUUGUCUCUGAGUAUAUAUAGUUAAGGUUGGUGUAACUACAGAAAAAAGGAGCCUUGGGAAAGAACUCUCCAGGAACCAUGUUCUGGGGAGACUUUAAUACAAGAAAGAAGUGGGUGUCAAUCACUUGGAAGGAUAAGAAUAAGCAAUGUUUUUUUGUUGAGGAGGACUGGUUUCUCAUCUAAGGCUCUCUUUUUUCCUAUGCUUUGUAGUCUUAAAAAUGUGGACCCAUUUUUAUGGGAUGGAUUUCUACCUAACUCGAUUAAAUUCUAAUUAAUCAUUAAGUACUCAGGUUUUAUACACCUGAUUUCAACUGAAGCAUUACAGAAGUUUCUUUGGGUGGAGAAUAGUAAAUAGGAAUAAUUAUAUAUAUAAUAAAAUAAAAGUAUAUAUUUCUAUAUGCAAUGUCCUUUCUCUACUUGUGAAUACCUUACUAGUGCUCUAGUACUUUGUAAUCAUUCCUAUGUCCACUUACAUAAAGAAAAUGAUAUCUAUCACAAAUAAGACUUGUGUUAUUGAUGUUAGCCCGUGGAUCCUUUUAAAGGUACUGAGGUCACAGACAGGAGCAGCAGCCUCAUGGAUGGGAUUAGUGCUCAUAUGAGAGAGGCCCAAUAGUACCUCUUUCUCCCUUCUCUCCUGUGUAGUUAAAAUAAGAAGAUGGCUCUAAGUAAGGGAGCGGUGACCACUGAACACUGUAUUAUGGAGACCUUGACCUUGGGCCCCUCAGCUUACUAAAUGAUAAACUAGUGAAGAAAAUAGACUAGGAGUGAGUAGCCAUGACAAAUGAUCCUGAUUUUAAUUCACGGAACUUGAGUACGAUGUAUUUGCCCUCCUUGCAACCUUCUCAAAAUAGAACCACUUCCUCCAUCAUUCAAUGCUCAAAUG
rnacentral:sRNA from 1 species